GGUUAACCGUAUAGGGGAGCCGUAGGGAAACCGAGUCUUAACCGGGCGUUAAGUUGCAGGGUAUAGACCCGAAACCCGGUGAUCUAGCCAUGGGCAGGUUGAAGGUUGGGUAACACUAACUGGAGGACCGAACCGACUAAUGUUGAAAAAUUAGCGGAUGACCUGUGGCUGGGGGUGAAAGGCCAAUCAAACCGGGAGAUAGCUGGUUCUCCCCGAAAGCUAUUUAGGUAGCGCCUCGUGAAUUCAUCUCCGGGGGUAGAGCACUGUUUCGGCUAGGGGGCCAUCCCGGCUUACCAACCCGAUGCAAACUGCGAAUACCGGAGAAUGUUAUCACGGGAGACACACGGCGGGUGCUAACGUCCGUCGUGAAGAGGGAAACAACCCAGACCGCCAGCUAAGGUCCCAAAGUCAUGGUUAAGUGGGAAACGAUGUGGGAAGGCCCAGACAGCCAGGAUGUUGGCUUAGAAGCAGCCAUCAUUUAAAGAAAGCGUAAUAGCUCACUGGUCGAGUCGGCCUGCGCGGAAGAUGUAACGGGGCUAAACCAUGCACCGAAGCUGCGGCAGCGACACUGUGUGUUGUUGGGUAGGGGAGCGUUCUGUAAGCCUGUGAAGGUGGCCUGUGAGGGUUGCUGGAGGUAUCAGAAGUGCGAAUGCUGACAUAAGUAACGAUAAAGCGGGUGAAAAGCCCGCUCGCCGGAAGACCAAGGGUUCCUGUCCAACGUUAAUCGGGGCAGGGUGAGUCGACCCCUAAGGCGAGGCCGAAAGGCGUAGUCGAUGGGAAACGGGUUAAUAUUCCCGUACUUGGUGUUACUGCGAAGGGGGGACGGAGAAGGCUAUGUUGGCCGGGCGACGGUUGUCCCGGUUUAAGCGUGUAGGUGUGUGUUCCAGGUAAAUCCGGUUCACUUUAACACUGAGGCGUGACGACGAGGCACUACGGUGCUGAAGCAACAAAUGCCCUGCUUCCAGGAAAAGCCUCUAAGCAUCAGGUAACAUCAAAUCGUACCCCAAACCGACACAGGUGGUCAGGUAGAGAAUACCAAGGCGCUUGAGAGAACUCGGGUGAAGGAACUAGGCAAAAUGGUGCCGUAACUUCGGGAGAAGGCACGCUGACACGUAGGUGAAGUGAUUUACUCA
rnacentral:rRNA from 1 species